GUAAUACUCACUCCGUCCCAAAAUUCUUGUCUUAGAUUUGUCUAAGUACGGAUGUAUCAAGUCACGUUUUAGUAUUAGAUACAUCCGACAAAUCUAAGACAAGAAUUUUGGGACGGAGGGAGUAUUAG
rnacentral:pre_miRNA from 1 species